rnacentral:rRNA from 1 species
UUCAUUAUCAGGACGAGUGGAUCAGCAUCAGAUACGUCGUAGUCAUCUAUACUAUGCGACUAGGGAUUGAUGGACUCAUCACCAUUCAGUACUAUGAGAAUCAAGUUUUGGGUUCUGGGGGGAGUAUGUCGCAGACUGAACUAAAGAAAUGACGGAAGGGCACAGCAGGGAGUGGAGCUGCGGCUUAAUUUGACUCAACACGGGGAAACUUACCAGGUACAGACAUAGUAGGAUUGACAGAUUGAUAGCUCUUUCUUGAUUCUGUGGUGUGGUGCGUGACGUUCUUAGUUGGUGGAGUGAUUUGUCUGGUUAAUUCCGAUAACGAACGAGACCUUAACUGCUAAACUAGAUAUUUUCAGUUUGACAAAUAUAUCUUCUUAGAGGGACUAUAUGCUUUAAGUAUAAGGGAAGUAUGAGGCGAUAACAGGUCUGUGAUGCCCUUAUAUGUCCUGGGCUGCACGCGUGCUACACUGAUAUAUACAACAAGUGCCUAGCUAGAUAUAGUAUGGCAAUCUCGAAUAUAUAUCGUGAUGGGGAUAGAUCUUUGCAAUUAUAGAUCUUGAACGAGGAAUUCCUAGUAAGUGCAAGUCAUCAUCUUGCAUUGAUUAUGUCCCUGCCCGGGGUGAAAAACCGCCCGUCGCUCCUACCGAUACCGGGUGAUCCGGUGAACCUGUGGACCCUUUGGGAAAAAUUAGUAAAUCAUAUCACCUAGAGGAAGGAGAAGUCGUAUCAAGUAACCGGAUCCCUCUUCCCUCCUGCA